rnacentral:tRNA from 1 species
GCCCGGAUGACCUCCUCUGGUGAGGGGUGCAGGCUUCAAACCUGUAGUGGUCGCAAGGCCAAGCUGUUCAAUUCAGCCUUCUGGGCGCCA